rnacentral:lncRNA from 1 species
UCACGGCUUGGAAAUCAUCUGGAAUGGGGAGGAACAAAGUUGCUUUGAGGUCUUGGGGGUUGAAUGUGAGCUGGAUUGUUGGCCGGUGCGUGUGGGCAGCUGGAUGCUUGCUUUCGCUUGGAGAAUCGGGAGCUCGAUGCUAUCUUCUGUAAUGUGUGGUGUGACAGCUGUGCUAUACAAUCUGCUGCAACUGGAUCUACUAAUGGAAAUGUGUAUUCAUCUGCUAGUGCCUUGUAGGAUCUAAACCAGUGUGCUGCGAUAAUUUGACUGCUACCUUAUUGAAGGGGUUAAGAUGCAUUUGAAUGAAAUCCCAUUCUCAAACGUAUAAUUGGGGUGUCUUAGAGCAUCUCUAGCCCAUCCCCAAAAGCUAAAUGUGGGGCGAUUUUUUGUUUGUUUGGGGAAUUAACGCCCAUCUAGGCCAUCCCCAUUUCCUUUAGCCCCCCCCCCCCCCCCCCCCCCCCCCCCCUCCCCCCACCCCCCCCCCCCCCCCCCCCCCCCCCCC